GACUUUUAUUUUGAAACCAGACCUCUUUUGGCGUGCUUGUACAUUCAUAUAGCGAGGUUACAUGUGAUUAUUGUUAUUUUUAAAUAUGUAUUUCCUUCCAUACGUUACUCUGUAAUAGCGCAGGUAAAAUAAAAGUGCAACUAAUUUAGCCGGAAAUUCAUAACGCCUUCAAACAUUUUACCUCAGGAAUAUUCUUGAAUCUUGUUAGCAUCUUUGCUAGGCGUUUAGACUCAGCCAGACACCACUGGGUUAUUAACUUCCGGUCCAGGACUGAUUUAUUAAAAUAAAAUUAAUUGUAAUAAAUUUUCCAUUUCCGUCAGAAAUGAAAGCUGCAGGGAGUCUCAGACUCUUUAUGUUUAGCGUUUAUAAAAGUUUAUCUCGACGCGCGCGCGACUAUCACCGACGUUAUUGCUCCACAGGCGCGACUCCAACGGUUACCCAGGAUGAGAGCAGGCUGGGGGAAUUUAAAACCAGACUACGGUCCGGCCCGGGUUUUACCAACUUUAUUAAACAUUCUUCUGCAAAUAAGAACAAAGUUCAUGAAUAUGAAGAGCCAUAUCUUCCAGAAAACUCUGCGGAGGCAAAUCAACGCAAAGUGUAUUUUGAAACGUACGGCUGUCAAAUGAAUGUGAAUGACACGGAAAUCGCCUGGUCCAUUCUUCAGAAAGGAGGCUACCAAAGGACAGCUGAUCUCUCAGAGGCAGACGUGGUACUGCUUGUCACCUGCUCCAUAAGGGAAAAAGCAGAGCAGGUGAUCUGGAACAGACUCAAACAGCUUGGAGUCCUCAAAAAGAAGCGGCCGAAGGAUGAUGUCCCGUUAAAAAUAGGAGUACUGGGCUGCAUGGCAGAGCGACUGAAGACCGAGCUGUUAGAAAGGGAGAAGGUGGUGGACGUCAUAGCAGGACCCGACGCUUACAGAGACCUACCACGACUCCUGUCUCUCGCUCAUGGAGGUCAGCGAGCCAGCAACGUCCUGCUUUCUCUGGAGGAGACCUACGCUGAUGUAAUGCCGAUCCAUCGUGCAGGACACAGCGCUUUUGUGUCCAUUAUGCGUGGCUGUGACAACAUGUGCAGCUACUGUAUCGUGCCUUUCACUCGCGGGAGAGAGCGGAGCAGACCCAUGUCCUCCAUACUGGAAGAAGUGCGCAGGCUUUCUGACCAAGGAGUGAAGGAGGUGACUCUGUUAGGGCAGAACGUGAACAGCUACAGGGACGUCUCUGAGACGCAGAUCAGCACCUCGGGGCUGGUUUCAGAUCUCAGUCGGGGUUUCAACACGGUGUAUCGCAAAAAGCAUGGAGGCCUACGUUUCGCUGAUCUUCUGGACCGGGUCUCCACAAUCGAUUCUGACAUGAGGAUACGCUUCACCUCUCCACAUCCCAAAGACUUUCCGGAUGAGGUAUUAGAGUUGAUCCAGGAGAGGAACAACAUCUGUAAGCAGAUCCACCUCCCAGCUCAGAGCGGCAGCAGUCGGGUUUUACAAUCCAUGAGACGCGGCUACACCAGGGAGGCGUACCUGGACUUGGUGGAAAACGUUCGAAAGAUAAUCCCAGGGGUCAGUCUGAGCAGUGACUUCAUCGCCGGGUUCUGUGGUGAGACGGAGGAGGAGCACCAGCAGACGCUGUCUCUGGUCAGGGAGGUGGGUUACAACGUAGGCUUCCUGUUUGCCUACAGCAUGAGGAAGAAAACGCACGCGUACCACCGUCUCCAAGACGACGUCCCUGCCGAGGUAAAGCAGAGGCGUUUGGAAGAGCUCGUAUCCGUGUUCCGAGAGGAAGCUGCUAAAGUGAACGCAGCUCUCACAGGGAGCACGCAGCUCGUCCUAGUGGAGGGAGAGAGUAAAAGGUCACCUGAGGAUCUUUGCGGUCGGAAUGACGGCAACGUCAAAGUGAUUUUUCCCAGAAAGGAUCUGCCCUCUGAUCCCACAGGAACUAUUACUGCCCCUGUUAAAGCGGGAGACUAUGUACUAGUGAAGAUUACUUCAGCGAACUCCCAGAGCCUACGAGGCCACGCCUUCAGCCACACCUCCCUGACUGGCAGUAGGAAAUGAACUUGUGAGCGGCAUAGUAAGGAACAGGCCACUGGACCUUAACAAGGACUUCCCAAACAAGGAGGCCGAGCACUCCGCCAUUGUUGUACACGAAGCUGAGAGACUAUGUACAGAUAAGGACUAUGUCAGUGAACUCCCAGAGCCUGCGAGGAGGCCAUGCUCUGAGCCACACCUCUUUGAGUGACAACAGGAAAUGGACUUGUGAACAGCAUCGUAAUGAACAGGCCGCUAUAUGUUAACAUGUUCCUUAGGCGUUGGAUGGAGUUGGUGGGGGCAAAAAAAAAACAGACAUAGAAAUAUCAUGUUUAUUUAUUUAUUGAUGAAUUUGUAUAAAGGUCAUGGAUAGUUGUAAAGAAAGGAAGCAAACAGUUUUGUUUGUAAAAGGAAUCCACUGUUAGUAGACAUCAGGUAAGGCCUAUCCGGUGAACUGGACGUCUGUCCCGAUUAACACAUAAUCCUAGCCAAAUGUUCAGAAUCAAGGAUUAGAUACAUUUAUUAAAAAGGGCAUCUGUUAUAAAGUUGACCAAAUUUCAUUCUCGUACCUUCAGGAUCUGUAGCUGAGUGUUGACCAGAUUCAUGUUUCCGAUGGCAGGUAGAGGAUAACCUUGCCGUAGGAGAGCUGUCGAGAGCAUUUCAGAGAUUAAAAAAAAAAAUCAUAAAAGAAAUCUCAAUGCAUCAGAUUAUGUACUCACCGUUAACCACGGGUAUCACAACAGCUUUCAUGAUCAUGGUGAGAAAACUGUCGAGUGAUUUCACCUGUUGGACAUGAAAAUGAUUGGACAUUUAGAUUUAUGCUUCAGCAGAUGUAUUAAAAUUGGUCUGUUUGACCUUGUACCUGAAACGG